rnacentral:rRNA from 1 species
AAUCCAUAGGUUAAUGAGGCGAACCGGGGGAACUGAAACAUCUAAGUACCCCGAGGAAAAGAAAUCAACCGAGAUUCCCCCAGUAGCGGCGAGCGAACGGGGAGGAGCCCAGAGCCUGAAUCAGCAUGUGUGUUAGUGGAAGCGUCUGGAAAGGCGCGCGAUACAGGGUGACAGCCCCGUACACAAAAGCGCAUGUGCUGUGAGCUCGAUGAGUAGGGCGGGACACGUGGUAUCCUGUCUGAAUAUGGGGGGACCAUCCUCCAAGGCUAAAUACUCCUGACUGACCGAUAGUGAACCAGUACCGUGAGGGAAAGGCGAAAAGAACCCCGGCGAGGGGAGUGAAAAAGAACCUGAAACCGUGUACGUACAAGCAGUGGGAGCACCCUUCGGGGUGUGACUGCGUACCUUUUGUAUAAUGGGUCAGCGACUUAUAUUCUGUAGCAAGGUUAACCGUAUAGGGGAGCCGGAGGGAAACCGAGUCUUAAUUGGGCGUUAAGUUGCAGGGUAUAGACCCGAAACCCGGUGAUCUAGCCAUGGGCAGGUUGAAGGUUGGGUAACACUAACUGGAGGACCGAACCGACUAAUGUUGAAAAAUUAGCGGAUGACCUGUGGCUGGGGGUGAAAGGCCAAUCAAACCGGGAGAUAGCUGGUUCUCCCCGAAAGCUAUUUAGGUAGCGCCUCGUGAAUUCAUCUCCGGGGGUAGAGCACUGUUUCGGCUAGGGGGCCAUCCCGGCUUACCAACCCGAUGCAAACUGCGAAUACCGGAGAAUGUUAUCACGGGAGACACACGGCGGGUGCUAACGUCCGUCGUGAAGAGGGAAACAACCCAGACCGCCAGCUAAGGUCCCAAAGUCAUGGUUAAGUGGGAAACGAUGUGGGAAGGCCCAGACAGCCAGGAUGUUGGCUUAGAAGCAGCCAUCAUUUAAAGAAAGCGUAAUAGCUCACUGGUCGAGUCGGCCUGCGCGGAAGAUGUAACGGGGCUAAACCAUGCACCGAAGCUGCGGCAGCGAACGUAUCACCCAAGACAACUUUACGGAGUUGACGAUUGACGGAGCGAAGCGACGUCAAAGCGUUCAUUAAAGUCGAGUUGGCUUAGGGAUACGUUCGUUGGGUAGGGGAGCGUUCUGUAAGCCUGUGAAGGUGUGUCGUGAGGCAUGCUGGAGGUAUCAGAAGUGCGAAUGCUGACAUAAGUAACGAUAAAGCGGGUGAAAAGCCCGCUCGCCGGAAGACCAAGGGUUCCUGUCCAACGUUAAUCGGGGCAGGGUGAGUCGACCCCUAAGGCGAGGCCGAAAGGCGUAGUCGAUGGGAAACGGGUUAAUAUUCCCGUACUUGGUGUUACUGCGAAGGGGGGACGGAGAAGGCUAUGUUGGCCGGGCGACGGUUGUCCCGGUUUAAGCGUGUAGGUGUGUGUUCCAGGUAAAUCCGGUUCACUUUAACACUGAGGCGUGACGACGAGG